UACAGAGGUCUCAAGCGUUGUUCGGAUUCAUUGGGCGUAAAGGGUGCGUAGGUGGCGCUGUAAGUCGGGUGUGAAAUUUCGGAGCUUAACUCCGAAACUGCAUUCGAUACUGCGGUGCUUGAGGACUGGAGAGGAGACUGGAAUUCAUGGUGUAGCAGUGAAAUGCGUAGAGAUCGGGAGGAACACCGGCGGCGAAGGCGGCUGCCUGGACCAGUCCUGACGCUGAGGCGCGAAAGCGUGGGGAGCAACGGG
rnacentral:rRNA from 1 species